rnacentral:misc_RNA from 1 species
GAUGAAGAACGUAGCGAAAUGCGAUAAGUAAUGUGAAUUGCAGAAUUCAGUGAAUCAUCGAAUCUUUGAACGCACAUUGCGCCCUCUGGUAUUCCGGGGGGCAUGCCUGUUCGAGCGUCAUUAUAACCACUCAAGCUCUCGCUUGGUAUUGGGGUUCGCGGUUCCGCGGCCCCUAAAAUCAGUGGCGGUGCCUGUCGGCUCUACGCGUAGUAAUACUCCUCGCGAUUGAGUCCGGUAGGUCUACUUGCCAGCAACCCCCAAUUUUUACAGGUUGACCUCGGAUCAGGUAGGGAUACCCGCUGAACUUAAGCAUAUCAAUAAGGGAGGA